CCUACGGGAGGCAGCAGUGAGGAAUAUUGGUCAAUGGGCGUAAGCCUGACCCAGCCAAGCCGCGUGAGGGAUGAAGGCUCUAUGGAUCGUAAACCUCUUUUAUAAGGGAAUAAAGUGUGGGACGUGUCCUAUUUUGUCUGUACCUUAUGAAUAAGGAUCGGCUAACUCCGUGCCAGCAGCCGCGGUAAUACGGAGGAUCCGAGCGUUAACCGGAUUUAUUGGGUUUAAAGGGUGCGUAGGCGGCCUUUUAAGUCAGCGGUGAAAGUCGGUGGCUCAACCAUAGAAUUGCCGUUGAAACUGGGGGGCUUGAGUAUGUGUGAGGCAGGCGGAAUGCGUGGUGUAGCGGUGAAAUGCUUAGAUAUCACGCAGAACCCCGAUGGCGAAGGCAGCCUGCCAAGCCAUGACUGACGGUGAUGCACGAAAGCGUGGGGAUCAAACAGGAUUAGAUACCCGGGUAGUC
rnacentral:rRNA from 1 species